UUCCUACUCUGCGCAGCGCACAUCUCCUCUCCCAAAUCUGAGCCUUGACCUCUUUGCCAUUGAUAUCCAUGCUCUGUGUCUGAAACUCCACCCCAAUUGUGGCCUUGGAGUGUGCAUUGAACUCGUUGCGAGCAUAGUGAGACAGCAAGUUCGAUUUCCCCUUCUCUGGUUUUGCACAGCACAAGCAAUAGAAGGACGAUUCUUUCUUCUGUUUUUUAAAGAGACACACGACAGAAAUUGUGGAAGGAAGAUUAUUUUUUGCAAUUGCAAACUCAGAGAUGUGAAGGUGGCUAUUUAUAAAAAAGAAGGCAAGCAACUUUAUGAAGAUUCGGAAUUUUUUAAUGCGGUGCAUGAGGUUUUAUUGCAAAGAUGGACCAAAAGCAACACUCCACUCCAUUGCCUUGCACAUUCUUUAAAUCCAAGGUAUUAUACUACCGAAUGACUUGUUUCAAAUCGUGUUGCUCCGCAUCAAGAUCAAGACAUUACAUUACAAAGGCAAAAAUGCUUUGAGCGACUCUUUCCUAAUGAUUUGGAUAGAAUGCAUGCUAGAGAAGAGUAUGCCGCUUUUUCAGGUGGAAUUGACCAUUUUUCAAAUGCGGAUUCUUUAAUUGACAGAGGUCGUAUGCAACCGGUGAAAUGGUGGAUUGUUUAUGGAGCUUUUUCUCCAAUCAUUCAAAGUUUGGCUUUGCGGUUACUUGGUCAACCUUGUUCCUCCUCUUGUUGUGAAAGAAAUUGGAGUACAUAUAAUUUUGUACAUUCUUUUAGGAGGAACAAGAUAGCACCACAAAGAGCCGAAGACUUGGUGUUCGUGCAUAAUAAUCUCCGCUUCUAUCAAGGAAGAUGUCUAAUUACACAGAAGGUGAGAGUAAGAUGUGGGAUGUUGGUGAGGAUGGAUUUGAUACUAUAAACUUGGAAAAUGCGUUUGUGCUUGAAAUUGCAAACCUUUCACUUGAUGAACUGGAAUUAGAGGGCGUGUUGUUUUCAAAUAACAACAAUGAAGACAUAGAUGCUUGAAGAAGAUUGAGAAUUAGAUCAUUUAUGUUUUAUUUUGUGAUGUAUUAAUUAUUAUGUAUGGAUGAUGAACACGAGUUUUUUAUUUUGUGAUGUA